UACGUAGGCAGCAAGCGUUGUUCGGAGUUACUGGGCGUAAAGGGUGCGUAGGCGGUUGUUUAAGUUUGGUGUGAAAUCUCCCGGCUCAACUGGGAGGGUGCGCCGAAUACUGAAUGACUAGAGUGCGGGAGAGGAGAGUGGAAUUCCUGGUGUAGCGGUGAAAUGCGUAGAUAUCAGGAGGAACACCGGUGGUGUAGACGGCUCUCUGGGCCGUAACUGACGCUGAGGCACGAAAGCGUGGGUAGCAAACAGG
rnacentral:rRNA from 1 species